UUCCGGUUGAUCCUGCCGGACCUGACUGCUAUCGGAUUGAUACUAAGCCAUGCGAGCCAUUGUAGCAAUACAAGGCAUACGGCUCAGUAACGCGUAGUCAACCUAACCUAUGGACGGGAGUAACCUCGGGAAACUGAGAAUAAUGCCCGAUAGAACAUUAUGCCUGGAAUGGUUUAUGUUCCAAAUGAUUUAUCGCCGUAGGAUGGGACUGCGGCCUAUCAGUUUGUUGGUGAGGUAAUGGCCCACCAAGACUAUUACAGGUACGGGCUCUGAGAGGAGUAGCCCGGAGAUGGGUACUGAGACACGGACCCAGGCCCUAUGGGGCGCAGCAGGCGAGAAAACUUUGCAAUGUGCGAAAGCACGACAAGGUUAAUCCGAGUGGUUUCUGCUAAAGAAACCUUUUGUCAGUCCUAGAAACACUGAUGAAUAAGGGGUGGGCAAGUUCUGGUGUCAGCCGCCGCGGUAAAACCAGCACCUCAAGUGGUCAGGAUGAUUAUGGGCCCUAAAGCAUCCGUAGCCGGCUCUGUAAGUUUUCGGUUAAAUCUGUACGCUCAAC
rnacentral:rRNA from 1 species